rnacentral:rRNA from 1 species
GAUGAACGCUGGCGGCGUGCCUAAUACAUGCAAGUCGAGCGAACGGACGAGAAGCUUGCUUCUCUGAUGUUAGCGGCGGACGGGUGAGUAACACGUGGAUAACCUACCUAUAAGACUGGGAUAACUUCGGGAAACCGUAGCUAAUACCGGAUAAUAUUUUGAACCGCAUGGUUCAAAAGUGAAAGACGGUCUUGCUGUCACUUAUAGAUGGAUCCGCGCUGCAUUAGCUAGUUGGUAAGGUAACGGCUUACCAAGGCAACGAUGCAUAGCCGACCUGAGAGGGUGAUCGGCCACUCUGGAACUGAGACACGGUCCAGACUCCUACGGGAGGCAGCAGUAGGGAAUCUUCCGCAAUGGGCGAAAGCCUGACGGAGCAACGCCGCGUGAGUGAUGAAGGUCUUCGGAUCGUAAAACUCUGUUAUUAGGGAAGAACAUAUGUGUAAGUAACUGUGCACAUCUUGACGGUACCUAAUCAGAAAGCCACGGCUAACUACGUG